rnacentral:rRNA from 1 species
AGAGUUUGAUCCUGGCUCAGGAUGAACGCUAGCGGCAGGCCUAAUACAUGCAAGUCGAACGGUAAGGCUCUUUCGGGAGUACACGACCGGCGCACGGGGUUGCGUAACGCGUAUGUAAUCUACCAUUAACCGGGGAAUAGCCCAGAGAAAUCUGGAUUAAUGCCCCAUAGUAUUAUCGAAAGGCAUCUUUUGAUAGAUAAAGCUCCGGCGGUUAUAGAUGGGCAUGCGUGACAUUAGUUUGUUGGUGAGGUAACGGCUCACCAAGACUACGAUGUCUAGGGGUUCUGAGAGGAUGAUCCCCCACACUGGUACUGAGACACGGACCAGACUCCUACGGGAGGCAGCAGUGAGGAAUAUUGGUCAAUGGGCGCAAGCCUGAACCAGCCAUCCCGCGUGCAGGAUGACGGCCCUAUGGGUUGUAAACUGCUUUUAUACACCAAGAAAAACACCCACGUGUGGGUGCCCGACGGUAGUGUAUGAAUAAGCAUCGGCUAACUCCGUGCCAGCAGCCGCGGUAAUACGGAGGAUGCAAGCGUUAUCCGGAUUCAUUGGGUUUAAAGGGUGCGCAGGUGGGAAAAUAAGUCAGUGGUGAAAUACUGCCGCUUAACGGUAGAAUUGCCAUUGAUACUGUUUUUCUUGAGUAUGGUUGAGGUAGGUGGAAUGUGUUGUGUAGCGGUGAAAUGCAUAGAUAUGACACAGAACACCGAUUGCGAAGGCAGCUUACUAAACUGUUACUGACGCUGAGGCACGAAAGCGUGGGGAGCGAACAGGAUUAGAUACCCUGGUAGUCCACGCCGUAAACGAUGAGUGCUAGGUGUCGGGGGUAUCGACCCCCUCGGUGCCACGAAAGCGAUAAGUUAUCCACCUGGGGAGUACGACCGCAAGGUUGAAACUCAAAGGAAUUGACGGGGGCCCGCACAAGCGGAGGAACAUGUGGUUUAAUUCGAUGAUACGCGAGGAACCUUACCUGGGCUUAAAUGUAGGCUGCAUUCGGCUGAAAGGCUGAUUCCCUUCGGGGCUGCUUACAAGGUGCUGCAUGGUUGUCGUCAGCUCGUGCCGUGAGGUGUUAGGUUAAGUCCUGCAACGAGCGCAACCCUUACCUUUAGUUGCCAGCAUGUAAUGAUGGGGACUCUAAAGGAACUGCCUACGCAAGUAGUGAGGAAGGUGGGGAUGACGUCAAAUCAGCACGGCCCUUAUGUCCAGGGCGACACACGUGCUACAAUGGCCGAUACAAAGGGCAGCUACCAGGUGACUGGAUGCUAAUCUCUAAAGCUUGUCUCAGUUCGGAUCGAAGUCUGCAACCCGACUUCGUGAAGCUGGAUUCGCUAGUAAUCGCAUAUCAGCCAUGAUGCGGUGAAUACGUUCCCGGGCCUUGUACACACCGCCCGUCAAACAAUGGAAGCUGGGGGUACCUGAAGUCUGUAACCGCAAGGAGCGGCCUAGGGUAAAACUAGUAACUGGUGUUAAGUCGUAACAAGGUAACC